UACGAAGGAUGCAAGCGUUAUCCGGAUUUAUUGGGCUUAAAGGGAGCGUAGGCGGCUUUAUAAGUCAGUGGUGAAAUCUUGUCGCUUAACGACAAACGUGCCAUUGAUACUGUAGAGCUUGAGUACAGAUGACGUUGGCGGAAUGUGUCAUGUAGCGGUGAAAUGCAUAGAUAUGACACAGAACACCGAUUGCGAAGGCAGCUGACGAAACUGUAACUGACGCUGAGGCUCGAAAGCGUGGGGAUCAAACAGG
rnacentral:rRNA from 1 species